rnacentral:sRNA from 1 species
UUUCCCCUGCUGUGUUUGUGAUUGGCAGAGUUUGUUGAGCCAACUCUCUUUACAAGGGUGUCUCCUCUCCGCAUAGGGAUGGAAGGAGAGAAAUCUCUUUCCCGAAUAGCGGAUGAGACGCCCACCUGGUU